UGGCCAACAACUCCAAUCUCUACCUCCUCGCGGUACUGGCCGCGGUACGAGUAACUUUAGGGAAGAUCAAGUGACCUACCCCGGUGGAAACUUUGGUCGUAUGCUAACAUGGAAGG
rnacentral:ribozyme from 1 species